GUAGGUGGCAAGCGUUGUCCGGAAUUAUUGGGCGUAAAGCGCGCGCAGGCGGUUCUUUAAGUCUGAUGUGAAAGCCCACGGCUCAACCGUGGAGGGUCAUUGGAAGCUGGAGAACUUGAGUACAGAAGAGGAAAGCGGAAUUCCACGUGUAGCGGUGAAAUGCGUAGAGAUGUGGAGGAACACCAGUGGCGAAGGCGGCUUUCUGGUCUGUAACUGACGCUGAGGCGCGAAAGCGUGGGGGAGCAAACAGGAUUAGAUACCCUGGUAGUCCACGCCGUAAACGAUGAGUGCUAAGUGUUAGGGGGUUUUCCGCCCCGUUAGUGCUGCAGCUAACGCAUUAAGCACUCCGCCUGGGAGUACGGCCGCAAGGCUG
rnacentral:rRNA from 1 species